rnacentral:rRNA from 1 species
GCUCGUAACAAGCUCAAAAACCCCCACAAAAUACUAUCUAACUAGUACCACCCAAAACAUUUGACCCAGACAGUAGAUGCGAUCGAACCCCGCCCAAUCGACGCUAUAUAAACAGUACUGUGAAGGAAAAAUGAAAAAGUGUGAAACCGUUAGCAUAACUAAGCAGGGACUAAAACUCGUACCUUUUGCAUCAUGAUUUAGCAAGAAAACUAGACAAAGAGACCUACAGCCUCUCACCCCGAACACAAGUGAUCUACUUCAUGGCAGUUGAACCGAACUAACUCGUCUCUGUGGCAAUAGAGUGAGAAGACCAAGAAGUAGUAGGCCAAAAACCAAGCGAACUUGUUGAUAGCUGGUUAUCCGACAAAUGAAUCUAAGUUCAAACCCAGCAACAUACCUACUACAUGACAAAACAUUUUGCCAGGAGAUAGCCGAUGGGGGCACAGCUCCAUCAGCAUUGGAUACAGCCAAAAGUAGCGAGAAAUACACCUAUACUGAAACCUGUAGGCCUUUAAACAGCCACCAAUAACUAUCGCGUCACAGUAACAAACUAAAAAUACCCUAAAAAACUAAAUUCUCCUAUACACCAACCGGAUAAUUCUACAAAAAUGUAGAAGAAAUUAUGCUAAAAUGAGUAAUUAGAACUACUUCUUCAGACAGAACUUUAACUAAUAUUUACACCCAACAGACCCAAAAAAGAAAUACGACACCCAAUUCAACAACACGUAAAACACACUGUUAACCCAACACUAGGACUGUCCACCCAUAGGCUAAAAACCUUAAAAGGAACUCGGCAAACCCCUUCUCCAACUGUUUACCAAAAACAUAGCUUCUAGCCGGACAAGUAUUAGAAGUAACGCCUGCCCUGUGGAACCCUAAACGGCCGCGGUACAAAACCGUGCAAAGGUAGCACAAUCACUUGUCCCUUAAAUGAGGACCCGUAUGAAAGGCAACAUGAGAGAAAACCUGUCUCCUAAGGUUAGCCAAUGAAAUUGAUCUAUCAGUACAAAAGCUGGUAUAAUAAAGCAAGACAAAAAGACCCUAUGGAACUUUAACGAGUUGCUUACACAAAUUAAGCAAUAGUUUCAGUUGGGACAACUUUAGAAAAAAUAAACCUCUAACAUUCAUUAUCUCGACCAACAAGUCUCCAAUACGCUACAUAGACCCAGUAACACUGAUAAAUGAAACAAGCUACCCUAGGGAUAACAGCGCUACCUUCUCAAAGAGUCCAUAUCAACAAGAAGAUCUACGACCUCGAUGUUGGAUCAGGGUACCCUGACGGUGCAGCAGCUGUCAAUGGUUCGUUUGUUCAACGACUAACACCCUACGCGAUCUGAGUUCAGACCGGAGCAAUCCAGGUCGGCCUUUAUCUGCUCUAAGUUUUUGCUAGUACGAAAGGACCGCUAAAACAAGACUAAUGCUAACAGCACAUCUUACAAAAAUAAUGCAUAAAACUUAAAUACAAAAAUACACCAAACCCAAAAAAAGGACCCACAAAACCAGGAUUCUGGUGCCAC